ACGGACAUAGCUCAAAGGUAGAGCAGCAGACUGUAAUCUGCGGGUUGCCGGUUCGAAUCCGGCUUUCCGAC
rnacentral:tRNA from 1 species